AAUAAAGUCUCUUCUUUUUCCAAGGUACUCCCACAGAUAAAAGUCUUGACCUCUUUCUCGAGCGGAUGGUACGUACAACGGACCAGGCUACUCGACACGAUGCGGCUCACGGGACAGUCUCACGUCGGCGUGUCGUGACGGGCGACAACUCCUGGGGCCUCGGAUCUGUCAAUCGAGCCGUUGAAGGUCGGGGGUGGCGGAAAGAGCUGUCCGUGCUGUGGGUCCAAAAGCAGAUACGGAGUAACCUACGUGAAGGUAACAUCACAUCAUGGUCAACGACACUAUAGUACAGGAGUCGUUACGGGGGCUACCUUGCUGGUGCUGGUACAACAACGGACCUCAGAAAAAAGUACUACUACAGCGAUAAGCGGUAGGGUGUCAAAUACGCCACCUCGCAGUUACUGGAGUCGCACAACGUCCUCUUCUGGUACUUCUAGCCGUUCUUUCUAUACACAGUAUGUCCAACUAGUUCCUUCCACGUUGUGACACUACACUCAACUUGUGUUCGUACCGGAUGUUAGAGCUGCGGGUGGUAGGUACACGGAACGUUCGUCGUUAACAAGUGUAGGAACUGUAAACAGUGACGGGAGAAGAGUAGAUAGGGCUGUCAGAGCCACAGGUCCGUUCCAUACAGAUACAGUCAACUUGACAGUGAGCUCAAUGUUGUUAAGGUUCUAAAAAAGAUAUAGACGUUAACCCACCUGAUACCAUACUUAGUCAAAUAUUCGUUGGUACCACAUGUACUUAGGGACAACCACACUUGACAGUUUUCG
rnacentral:rRNA from 1 species